rnacentral:rRNA from 1 species
GACGAACGCUGGCGGCGUGCCUAAUACAUGCAAGUCGAACGAACUCUGGUAUUGAUUGGUGCUUGCAUCAUGAUUUACAUUUGAGUGAGUGGCGAACUGGUGAGUAACACGUGGGAAACCUGCCCAGAAGCGGGGGAUAACACCUGGAAACAGAUGCUAAUACCGCAUAACAACUUGGACCGCAUGGUCCGAGCUUGAAAGAUGGCUUCGGCUAUCACUUUUGGAUGGUCCCGCGGCGUAUUAGCUAGAUGGUGGGGUAACGGCUCACCAUGGCAAUGAUACGUAGCCGACCUGAGAGGGUAAUCGGCCACAUUGGGACUGAGACACGGCCCAAACUCCUACGGGAGGCAGCAGUAGGGAAUCUUCCACAAUGGACGAAAGUCUGAUGGAGCAACGCCGCGUGAGUGAAGAAGGGUUUCGGCUCGUAAAACUCUGUUGUUAAAGAAGAACAUAUCUGAGAGUAACUGUUCAGGUAUUGACGGUAUUUAACCAGAAAGCCACGGCUAACUACGUGCCAGCAGCCGCGGUAAUACGUAGGUGGCAAGCGUUGUCCGGAUUUAUUGGGCGUAAAGCGAGCGCAGGCGGUUUUUUAAGUCUGAUGUGAAAGCCUUCGGCUCAACCGAAGAAGUGCAUCGGAAACUGGGAAACUUGAGUGCAGAAGAGGACAGUGGAACUCCAUGUGUAGCGGUGAAAUGCGUAGAUAUAUGGAAGAACACCAGUGGCGAAGGCGGCUGUCUGGUCUGUAACUGACGCUGAGGCUCGAAAGUAUGGGUAGCAAACAGGAUUAGAUACCCUGGUAGUCCAUACCGUAAACGAUGAAUGCUAAGUGUUGGAGGGUUUCCGCCCUUCAGUGCUGCAGCUAACGCAUUAAGCAUUCCGCCUGGGGAGUACGGCCGCAAGGCUGAAACUCAAAGGAAUUGACGGGGGCCCGCACAAGCGGUGGAGCAUGUGGUUUAAUUCGAAGCUACGCGAGGAACCUUACCAGGUCUUGACAUACUAUGCAAAUCUAAGAGAUUAGACGUUCCCUUCGGGGACAUGGAUACAGGUGGUGCAUGGUUGUCGUCAGCUCGUGUCGUGAGAUGUUGGGUUAAGUCCCGCAACGAGCGCAACCCUUAUUAUCAGUUGCCAGCAUUAAGUUGGGCACUCUGGUGAGACUGCCGGUGACAAACCGGAGGAAGGUGGGGAUGACGUCAAAUCAUCAUGCCCCUUAUGACCUGGGCUACACACGUGCUACAAUGGAUGGUACAACGAGUUGCGAACUCGCGAGAGUAAGCUAAUCUCUUAAAGCCAUUCUCAGUUCGGAUUGUAGGCUGCAACUCGCCUACAUGAAGUCGGAAUCGCUAGUAAUCGCGGAUCAGCAUGCCGCGGUGAAUACGUUCCCGGGCCUUGUACACACCGCCCGUCACACCAUGAGAGUUUGUAACACCCAAAGUCGGUGGGGUAACCUUUUAGGAACCAGCCGCCUAAGGUGGGACAGAUGAUUAGGGUG